AUGGCGGUGGCGGCGCUACGCAACCUGGCCGCCAAGAUACGGAUCCCCGGGCCUGCCGCCCUUCGGGCUUCGCCUGCGCCGGGUCCUCUGGCCAUCUCCCACUCCACACCUCCAAAGAGUGAUCUUGAAAAGGCUCUUCUCCUAAGAAACAAUAUUGAAUCUGCUACAUAUGUGGAUCUUCACUCUAGUGCAGAGGUGUUGGGCAAAUAUUGUGAGCAAACUGAAGAAAUCAUCAAACAAUAUUCUGAUGUACAUGGGGAGGUUGCAAACAAGAUGCGUACACUUACGUUGAAGUAUUUCUUUACCGGUGUCGCACUUGGUUUCACUGAUUCUAUGAUAUGCAACAAAGAUGAAGUCGUGCUUCAGGAGCGUCAAGUUGAAGGCGUGCUUCAGGAGCGUCAAGUUGAAUGA
rnacentral:rRNA from 1 species